GAAGUAUAUCCAAGGAGCCUAGUGGAUAGCCAGAAUACCAACCCCUUCCCAGUGAUAACAGGGACAUCCUUCCUCUCUUGGGGGUCAAUGGAGACCAGGUCCAUUUGGUCUAAAGUAUGGUUCAAGUCCAACGUUUCCUUGCUGAUUUUCUGUCUGGAUGAUUUAUCUAUGUCUGAAACUUGAAGAACGCCUUUCAGCAUUUCUUGUGUGGCAGGUCUAGUGGUGGUGAAUUCCCUCAGCUUCUGUUUGUUUGGGCAAGUCAUCAGUUCCCUUUCAUUUCUGAAGGAUAACUUUGGCAG